AAAUGCUCUGAGCAUUUGGCACACAUACCAUCCCUUCACAAAAAGAUAGACAGGAUUUCAUGAGGACAUGUGACCAGUGACAAUAAGCACCCAAAGCUUUAUAAGUCUGCAAGUGUCUGAAGAGUGGUGACUGAUCCGUCUCUGGCCAGAGGGACUGAUCUGCUCCAAGAGACACUGCUGAGAUGUUAUGAAAAUUUUUUUUCAAAAUGUUUAAAAACUGACAUUUUGAACUCUCAGAUAACAUUCAGAAAUAAUGUUUUCAUAACUUAAUGGGAACAUUGGCAAACAUUCUUGAAACAUGUUUUUGUUACCUGUGCUUAAGUACAGUGACAGAGCCAUUUGAUACAAUUCAUAAAUUGCAAUCUGUGUUGGCCAAAUCAAUAGUUUUAAUUUAAAUAUCUGGCCUGUAUUCCAGAAAUGCUCUGAGCAUUUGGCACACAUACCAUCCCUUCACAAAAAGAUAGACAGGAUUUCAUGAGGACAUGUGACCAGUGAAAAUAAGCACCCAAAGCUUUAUAAGUCUGCAAGUGUCUGAAGAGUGGUGACUGAUCCGUCUCUGGCCAGAGGGACUGAUCUGCUCCAAGAGACACUGCUGAGAUGUUAUUCCGCAUUCCUCUCCUGACACCUGGAUACAUUCGAUACCUGCAGACUCAGGCGGCAUGGACCAGUUUGCAGAGAGAGGGGCCCGUUGUACCCCGCCUUGCCAUGCUGCUAGGCCUUGUGGGUACUGGGAUGUCAGGAUACAGCUCUCGCCAGCUGACCUUAUACCACAAGCCAUCGCCACAUCUCCUGCGGUGAAACAAAAAGCAGCAAACAGAGAGACAACACAUCACUUUUGUUUAAAGUUCCUAAAGAAGACCAACACAGGCUCCAUAGUCAAUGCAAACCAGCCAACAACAAAUCCAGCAGCCAACAAGACUAGCACAGCUGUCACAGUGCAAACAUUAUGCUGA
ensembl:lncRNA